AUUGAACGCUGGCGGCAGGCCUAACACAUGCAAGUCGAACGGUAACAGGAAACAGCUUGCUGUUUCGCUGACGAGUGGCGGACGGGUGAGUAAUGUCUGGGAAACUGCCUGAUGGAGGGGGAUAACUACUGGAAACGGUAGCUAAUACCGCAUAACGUCGCAAGACCAAAGAGGGGGACCUUCGGGCCUCUUGCCAUCGGAUGUGCCCAGAUGGGAUUAGCUAGUAGGUGGGGUAACGACUCACCUAGGCGACGAUCCCUAGCUGGUCUGAGAGGAUGACCAGCCACACUGGAACUGAGACACGGUCCAGACUCCUACGGGAGGCAGCAGUGGGGAAUAUUGCACAAUGGGCGCAAGCCUGAUGCAGCCAUGCCGCGUGUAUGAAGAAGGCCUUCGGGUUGUAAAGUACUUUCAGCGGGGAGGAAGGGAGUAAAGUUAAUACCUUUACUCAUUGACGUUACCCGCAGAAGAAGCACCGGCUAACUCCGUG
rnacentral:rRNA from 1 species